GGGCCCAGGGCCUUAAGCACACUAGACACACUCUCCCACCCAGUCACUUUCCCAGCCCCCACCACUUCGAUAUUCCACCUGCCUUCCUAGUGAUAGCAGAGCACAGGAAAGGCCACAGAGCCAGGCCCUUGGGCACCCAUAACUCUCCAGUCUCUCUGGGGUGUUACUUAGCAACAGUCACAUACGGGAUGGAAGGAGUGUGUUUAUAUUUCUGCACGCCAUAAAAGGAACAGUGGGGGGGUGGGGGGUGUAGGAACUGUCAUAUCUUUCUGUUUUCUCUCCUUCUGUCCCUGGGGACAGAAGCCAGGAAGGGCUUCAGCAUGCUAGGUAAAUGUUCUAUCACUGAGCUACGCCUCCAGCCCCAAAGUGUUCAUUCAGUCUUUGAACUAGCAAAACCAUGCCUGCCAAAGGAGAAGAAACCAAGUGAGAAGUCAGCCUCGACCGCCCCAGGGAUCUACUGUUAGCAGUCAAGUAGAACUGCUUGCUGUUUCAGAAAAGCAAAACAGAGGCACAAAUAGCAGCCCUGAACAUCACCUUCUAAUGGGUCACCUGUCCAGAAGAGUUAAGCAAGAGGUCACAGGAUGACUCCCCACACUUCCACCUGCAACACCAAGACACAGGCUUCUUUGCGUGUUUUUAAUUCAGAGGAUUCCCGUUUCCUCUCACCUCACCUGGAGAUCAAUCUGAAGCAGCCUCGGAUCUAACUAAAGCUCUCCACAGACUUCCGCUGAGGGGGAUGCUAACUCUAAGGCCUCCACCUCUCUCAGAGAGGCAUGCUGACUUCUGGCAUCAGCCGCCUCUUCAGAGCACCUUCUGCCACGGGACAGGAGAAGGACUCGGUGGCACCAGGUGAACAGAUGUAAGCAGCUUCACCCCCAGACCUGAGCCUGCCCCUCCCUGUACUACAGGGGACAGGGACACCCUACAGAGUCCUCCUCACUCCUUCUUGCUUCCCUGGGCGGGGUUUCUUGUAAGGAGUUUCCCUGAGCUGGGUGGGGCCAGCGUGGACACCGUGGGUGACUCCAGCUUCACUCUGUCCAGAAGGGUCUUCUUAAGGGCAGCAGGAGACACCUUUUCUUGGUCAGCCAUGGACUGCAGUUCUCUGUAAACAAAGCCCCACCAGGAAGAUGAUAAACCUCGGAGCCAGAGCUUUGCGCCUUCCCCAGCUAUACAGACCCAGACUCUCAACCCGACGCCACCAAGACUCAGAAUCCCAAACCAGAGAAGCUCCAAGCUUCUUAAGAGUCAAAUAACUAACAGGGGAUAUCCCAGUCCCCCGGUGCGAUCCAAGCUAGGUACAGUGUUCCAGUGAUAUCGGUGACCACACAAGAAAAAAAAAAAAAAAAAAACUAGGGGAAGUUAUAGAAUUUGAAGCCAGUCAGCAGUUGAAUCCCAUCUCCAUCAUUUAACUGUUUGAUCUCGAAUGUACCCAUCUACAUAAACAAAGUUAAUCAUAGCCAUCAGAAGUGCGCUAAGAACUAAGUAGAGAAAGGUUAGCAAACCCUUGGUUAAAGGAAGCUUAAAACUGUGGUUAUCAACAGAGCACAGACUCUGACCGCGCUCAUGAAAUCUUCAAGAGUAACACCAACGGAAGAACUCAGACAGGGGAGAGCGAGAACGCGCACCUGGUUCGGAUACAGGAGGCCUCAACCGCAUUGAUGAGCAGAGAGCGGAAGCCCCCACUCUCCAGGAAGUGCAGGGCAUGGAUGGUGGCCCCCCCAGGGGAGCAGACGUUGUCCUUGAGCUGGCCUGGAUGGUCCUCUGAGUCCAGCAGCAUCUUAGCUGCUCCCUGAGAUACAAAGCAGCAUUAGACUCAACCCAGGCCCAGCUCGGUGCCCCUCCCCCAAAACACAACCCUAAAACCAACCACCAACCGCGCAAAGACACUAACCAGCAACGCCUGAGCUCCCAGUCUGACCGCCAGGCGCCGCGGCACGCCCAUCUUCACCCCACCAUCUGCCAGGGCGUCCAGGGCCAUGAAUGCCUGUGGAGAUAUUCUCUGAACACAGGAACCAAGCAUCCGCGCACCCACACACCACAGGCGGCUUUCUCAGGUGACUGGGACCAAUCCUGAAGGUCAGCUCCUUCCACCAGCCAGCCAUGUCCAAGAGAUGUGCCGGCUGCCCUCUCUUCCGCCAGCCCCUCCUGCUGCCCAGGAUGCAUGCAAGCCAGUGGGCAAGUGAGAACCACUCACAUAGGCAGGCCCGCUGCCGCUGAGCCCGGUGAUAGCAUCAAUGAGGUCUUCCUCCACCUCUGUGCAGAAGCCCACACUGCUCAUCAGCUGCUCCAAAAGCUUGCCGUCUUCCACCAGAGCAUGGGUGCCCGUGGCAUACACGGUGGCCCCCUCUCGGACCACCACGGGCGUGUUGGUCAUGCAGCGGAUCACUUUGGGGGCCGGCUGGAAAGCCAUCAGCUUCUAGAGGAGGAGAGCAAGCCAACUGAGUGUCCAGGACAUAGCUCCCUCGGAUCUGAGCCACUCCCAGGCCACCCCUCCUCUCACACAAUGGGCACCGGGGCAACAGCACCUUCUCCACAGAACUGAUGGUGACCCCGGCUGCACAGGAGACCACGAUGUGCCUCUCCUGCACGUCGGCUCCAAUCUCAUCCAGGAUGAAGGGGAUGAUGUGGGGCUUCACAGCCAGGAACAGGACGUCGCUGUGCCGCACAGUGUCCUUAUUGCUUCGGGUCAGAUUCACACCCAUCCUCUGCAGUAAGGAGUAGGGGACCCUGUCCGUAAUGCUAGGUAAUAUGGCUGAGCCCGUGCCACCCAUAGAAUAGCAGACCCUCUCUGUCAACUGUAGCCAACACUCUGUUCUGUGCCUUCAGGGCUCCGUGACUAUCCCCAAAUGGCAGCUUUCCUUUCCUGCCACCGGACAAAUAGGUACAAAAUGGUAAGCUGCUCCACCAUGGCCAGGAAAGUGGCUGUCCCCUCAACCCCAGCAAUCUCGAACCUCUCUGCCAGGUGAGAGAGAACUGAUGGAAAGAGCUGAGCACCCAGAGUCUGGAAGCAGAGCUGCAAAGCCCACUCCCAACCUCACAGCUGUUUACCGGAGUAACAAGUCUCCACGGGGCCCCCUCUAGGGCUCUGAGGUGCAUAGCUGGGGUCCUACAGCGUUGGGGACAUAAGCCUAUACUAGGCACAAACAGUAUCCACAGUGCUUCAUCUGCUCACCUGUCCCACAUUGGCCAGAUGUUAGAAGACUUGGGACAUUAAGCUUUAUUGAAUAAAGAAACUACGUAACUC
rnacentral:lncRNA from 1 species